rnacentral:rRNA from 1 species
UUAUGGCUCAGGAUGAACGCUGGCGGCGUGCCUAACACAUGCAAGUCGAACGGAGAGCCAAUGACGGAGUUUCGGACAACGGAUUGGUUCUUAGUGGCGGACGGGUGAGUAACGCGUGAGCAACCUGCCUUGGAGUGGGGAAUAACAGCUGGAAACAGUUGCUAAUACCGCAUGAUGCAGCGAGGGGACAUCCUCUUGCUGCCAAAGAUUUAUCGCUCUGAGAUGGACUCGCGUCUGAUUAGCUGGUUGGCGGGGUAACGGCCCACCAAGGCGACGAUCAGUAGCCGGACUGAGAGGUUGACCGGCCACAUUGGGACUGAGAUACGGCCCAGACUCCUACGGGAGGCAGCAGUGGGGAAUAUUGGGCAAUGGGCGAAAAAGCCUGACCCAGCAACGCCGCGUGAAGGAAGAAGGCCCUCGGGUUGUAAACUUCUUUUAUCGGGGACGAAACAAAUGACGGUACCUGAUGAAUAAGCCACGGCUAACUACGUGCCAGCCGCCGC